rnacentral:rRNA from 1 species
UACGUAGGGGGCAAGCGUUGUCCGGAAUCAUUGGGCGUAAAGAGCGUGUAGGCGGCCCGGUCAGUCCGCCGUGAAAGUCCAGGGCUCAACCCUGGAAUGCCGGUGGAUACUGUCGGGCUAGAGUGCGGAAGAGGCGAGUGGAAUUCCUGGUGUAGCGGUGAAAUGCGCAGAUAUCAGGAGGAACACCUAUUGCGAAGGCAGCUCGCUGGGACGUAACUGACGCUGAGACGCGAAAGCGUGGGGAGCAAACAGG